rnacentral:rRNA from 1 species
GAUGAACGCUGGCGGCGUGCCUAAUACAUGCAAGUCGAGCGAACAGACGAGGAGCUUGCUCCUCUGACGUUAGCGGCGGACGGGUGAGUAACACGUGGAUAACCUACCUAUAAGACUGGGAUAACUUCGGGAAACCGGAGCUAAUACCGGAUAAUAUAUUGAACCGCAUGGUUCAAUAGUGAAAGACGGUUUUGCUGUCACUUAUAGAUGGAUCCGCGCCGCAUUAGCUAGUUGGUAAGGUAACGGCUUACCAAGGCAACGAUGCGUAGCCGACCUGAGAGGGUGAUCGGCCACACUGGAACUGAGACACGGUCCAGACUCCUACGGGAGGCAGCAGUAGGGAAUCUUCCGCAAUGGGCGAAAGCUUGACGGAGCAACGCCGCGUGAGUGAUGAAGGUCUUCGGAUCGUAAAACUCUGUUAUUAGGGAAGAACAAAUGUGUAAGUAACUAUGCACGUCUUGACGGUACCUAAUCAGAAAGCCACGGCUAUCUACUUG